rnacentral:rRNA from 1 species
GCAAGAACUAACAAGGAUUCCCCUAGUAACUGCGAGUGAAGCGGGAAAAGCUCAAAUUUAAAAUCUGGCGGUCUUCGGCCGUCCGAGUUGUAUUCUGGAGAAGUGCUUUCCGCGCUGGACCGUGUAUAAGUCUCUUGGAACAGAGCGUCACAGAGGGUGAGAAUCCCGUCUUUGACACGGACUACCAGUGCUUUGUGAUGCGCUCUCAAAGAGUCGAGUUGUUUGGGAAUGCAGCUCAAAAUGGGUGGUAAAUUCCAUCUAAAGCUAAAUAUUGGCGAGAGACCGAUAGCGAACAAGUACCGUGAGGGAAAGAUGAAAAGCACUUUGGAAAGAGAGUUAAACAGUACGUGAAAUUGGUGAAAGGGAAACGCUUGAAGUCAGUCGCGUUGGCCGGGACUUAACCUUUGCUUUUCGCUUGGUGGUAUUUUCCGGCCGACGGGCCAACAUCAAAUUUGACUGGCUGGACAAGGGCUGAAGAAUGUGGCCACCCUUCGGUGUGUUAUAGCCUCUGUUCGUAUACGGCCAGUUGGGAUUGAGGACCGCAGCUUCGGCUUAGAAUGUUGGCGUAAUGGCUUUAAACCGACCCGUCUUGAAACACGGGACCAAGAAGUCUAACAUGCCUGCGAAGUGUUUGGGUGGAAAACCCGAGCGCGCAAUGAAAGUGAAAGUUGAGACCUCUGUCGUGGAGGGCAUCGACGCCCGGACCUGAUCUUCGGUGACGGAUCUGCGGUAGAGCAUGUAUGUUGGGACCCGAAAGAUGGUGAACUAUGCCUGAAUAGGGUGAAGCCAGAGGAAACUCUGGUGGAGGCUCGUAGCGAUUCUGACGUGCAAAUCGAUCGUCAAAUUUGGGUAUAGGGGCGAAAGACUAAUCGAACCAUCUAGUAG